GACGAACACUGGCGGCGUGCCUAAUACAUGCAAGUCGAACGGAGCGGCGGACGGGUGAGUAAUGCCUAGGAAUCUGCCUGGUAGUGGGGGAUAAUGUCCGGAAACGGGCGCUAAUACCGCAUACUCUCAGAUGAGCCUAGGUCGGAUUAGCUAGUUGGUGGGGUAAAGGCCUACCAAGGCGAAGAUCCGUAACUGGUCUGGGAGGAUGAUCAGUCACAAUGGAACUGAGAAACGGUCCAUACUCCUACGGUAGGCAGCAGUGGGGAAUAUUGGACAAUGGGCGAAAGCCUGAUCCAGCCAUGCCGCGUGUGUGAAGAAGGUCUUCGGAUUGUAAAGCACUUUAAGUUGGGAGGCGUUACCAACAGAAUAAGCACCGGCUAACUUCGUGCCAGCAGCCGCGGUAAUAC
rnacentral:rRNA from 1 species